UACGAAGGGUGCAAGCGUUGAUCGGAAUUACCGGGCGUAAAGGGUGCGUAGGCGGUUGUUUAAGUCUGUCGUGAAAUCCCCGGGCUCAACCUGGGAAUGGCGAUGGAUACUGGACAGCUAGAGUGUGUCAGAGGAUGGUGGAAUUCCCGGUGUAGCGGUGAAAUGCGUAGAGAUCGGGAGGAACAUCAGUGGCGAAGGCGGCCAUCUGGGACAACACUGACGCUGAAGCACGAAAGCGUGGGGAGCAAACAGG
rnacentral:rRNA from 1 species